AUGAGUUCCGAUGGGAGACUUGACCUCGACGCGACGACAAGCACCCUCGGGCCGGAGGAUGACACGGCGCAGGGUCUGAUACUGCCGACCAAGGAUAAGGUCAUGUACCGGCCUCCGCCGGGGAAAUCCGCGCUAGGUUUGGACCUGCUCGCACACAAGAAAAGAGAAAAGGAAGGUAACAAUUCAUUUAAGCGGCCUCCUGAGAAGGUAGUGACGGUUGCUUCUUCUAUGGAUGAAGAUGAGAGGCCAGGAUCUACAGAAAAUGAUGCAAGCAGCCUGUCCGGUGGUGACCGUGGCAGCGUGGCUCGCCGUUAUCGAGGAACCAAUUCCAGUGAGAAAACAUCGUCGAAAGAAUCUACAGUCACUGAUGAGAAUGAAAGGGGUCUUACACCCAGACAUCGAGAUGAAUCCCAUCGGCAACAGACCCCCGCCUCUAGGUACGAACCGAAUGAUGACAGAGGAUCCCGUGACAAACGUGGUGAACGCGAGACAUCUGCAUCCAUUGGUUAUAGUAGCAGUGGAAAGCGAGGAUACCGUGAUGACAGGGAAUCGAAUAGUAGGCGUAAUGAACGGAGCAGAUCUACAUCUAUCGACUACACAAACAAAAGAAGUCGGGAUGACUAUAGCUUGAGAAGCUCAAGAACACCUGCAAGAUCUGACUGGGACAGUGGCCGAUGGGAAUGGGAAGAUACACCUCGCCGGGAGUACCGUGAUGAUCGUCCUGGCUCCCAAAGACAUUAUCCAACACGAUCUCCUAUGCUAGCUGCUGCAUCUCCUGAUGCACGAUUGGUGUCUCCUUGGCUAGGCGGGAAUACACCCCGUUCCGCAGCCUCCCCUUGGGAUCAUGUUUCGCCCUCACCUGCUCCUGUGAGGGCUUCAGGUUCAUCAAAAGGGUCUUCGUAUUCAAGUUCCAGUGGAAGAUCUCAUCAGCUUACCUUUUCAAAUGAUGCUGAAGCUGAUAGAAGCCCCUCAGCUGCUGAUAGGAACUAUGAGAUUACCGAGGAAAUGAUGCAAGAGAUGGAUUAUAAUGCUGACCGUGCUUGGUAUGAUUGUGAAGAACACAACACUGUGUUCGAUGGUGAUAAUUAUGCUGCAGACGAUAGCUCCUACAAAAAGAAGGAAGCACAAUUGCCUAAGAAAUUGACUCGUAAAGAUGGUAGUCUGAUGACCCUUUCUCAGAGCAAGAAAUUAUCACAGAUGACUGCUGAUAAUGCUCAGUGGGAGGACAGACAAUUGUUGAGGUCUGGAGCUGUUAGAGGAACAGAGGUGCAGACAGAAUUUGAUGAUGAGGACGAGCGUAAAGUAAUACUUCUUGUUCAUGAUACGAAACCUCCCUUCCUGGAUGGGCGAGUUGUAUACACAAAGCAAGCAGAGCCUGUAAUGCCACUGAAGGAUCCAACAUCUGAUAUGGCUAUCAUUGCACGAAAGGGUUCUGUUUUGGUUAGGGAAAUUCGUGAAAAGCAGAGCCAGAACAAGUCGCGGCAACGCUUCUGGGAGCUUGCUGGAUCUAAUCUUGGAAAUAUAUUGGGUGUUGAGAAAACGUCUGAACAGGUUGAUGCAGAUACUGCUGUUGUUGGUGAUCAAGGGGAGAUCGAUUUCAAGGAGGAAGCAAAGUUUUCGCAACACUUGAAGGAAAAAGCAGAAGCUGUCAGUGAUUUUGCAAGAUCUAAAUCUCUUUCUCAGCAAAGACAAUAUCUUCCCAUAUAUACUGUUCGAGAUGACCUGCUACAGGUUGUGCGUGAAAAUCAAGUAGUUGUGGUCGUUGGUGAAACUGGUUCUGGGAAGACCACUCAACUUACUCAGUACCUGCAUGAGGAUGGAUAUACCACAACUGGUGUUGUUGGCUGUACUCAACCGAGACGUGUGGCUGCCAUGAGUGUUGCCAAGCGGGUCAGUGAAGAAAUGGAAACCGAACUUGGUGAUAAAGUUGGAUAUGCUAUCCGAUUUGAGGACGUCACUUGUUCUAGCACUAUAAUAAAGUAUAUGACAGAUGGAGUGCUUCUUCGUGAAACCUUGAAAGAUGCUGACCUUGAUAAAUAUCGUGUUAUCGUCAUGGAUGAAGCACACGAAAGAUCCCUCAAUACUGAUGUUUUGUUUGGCAUAUUGAAGAAGGUUGUUGCACGUCGGCGGGAUUUUAAGCUAAUUGUCACAUCUGCAACCCUAAAUGCAGACAAAUUCUCAAAGUUCUUUGGAGGUGUGCCUGUAUUUAACAUUCCAGGCAGGACAUUUCCAGUUAAUAUCUUGUUUAGCAAAACACCAUGUGAAGAUUAUGUGGAAGCGGCAGUGAAGCAGGCCAUGACAAUUCACAUAACGAGUGGCCCUGGUGACAUCCUCAUCUUCAUGACCGGGCAGGAAGAGAUCGAGGCUACUUGCUAUGCUCUUGCUGAGCGCAUGGAGCAGCUAAUAUCGUCAUCCACGAAGAAUGUACCCAAGCUCUCCAUCUUGCCGAUUUACUCGCAGUUGCCUGCUGACUUGCAGGCCAAGAUCUUUCAGAAGGCAGAAGAGGGCACUCGCAAAUGCAUUGUUGCUACCAAUAUUGCUGAGACAUCCCUCACAGUGGAUGGCAUCUUCUAUGUCAUUGAUACCGGGUAUGGAAAGAUGAAGGUAUACAAUCCACGGAUGGGCAUGGAUGCUCUUCAAGUUUUUCCGUGUAGUCGAGCAGCUGCAGACCAGCGUGCAGGACGUGCUGGAAGAACCGGUCCUGGCACAUGCUACAGGCUGUUCACAGAAUCAGCUUACCAGAAUGAGAUGCUCCCUAACCCCGUGCCAGAGAUUCAAAGGACUAACCUGGGAAACGUGGUUCUCUUACUGAAGUCCCUCAAAGUCGAAAACUUGCUUGAUUUUGACUUCAUGGACCCACCCCCCCAGGAGAAUAUCCUCAACUCCAUGUACCAGCUCUGGGUGUUGGGCGCCUUGAACAAUGUUGGUGGACUUACAGAAAUAGGUUGGAAGAUGGUGGAGUUCCCAUUGGACCCAACUCUAGCAAAGAUGCUUCUCAUGGGGGAGAAGCUGGACUGCCUUGAUGAAGUAUUAACCAUUGUAUCCAUGCUCUCAGUACCCUCAGUUUUCUUCCGGCCAAAAGAUCGAGCAGAGGAGAGCGACGCAGCAAGGGAAAAAUUCUUUGUCCCAGAGUCUGACCACCUAACGCUCCUGAAUGUAUACCUGCAGUGGAAGUCAAACCAAUAUCGAGGAGACUGGUGCAAUGACCAUUUCCUCCAUGUUAAGGGUCUCCGUAAGGCUCGGGAAGUGAGAUCUCAACUGCUAGACAUUCUGAAAGCCCUGAAGAUCCCACUGACAUCAUGCCAUAUGGAAUGGGACGUGGUGAGGAAAGCUAUCUGCUCGGCGUACUUCCAUAACUCGGCAAGGUUGAAGGGCAUAGGAGAGUAUGUCAACUGCCGGAAUGGGAUGCCGUGCCACCUGCAUCCGAGCAGUGCUCUGUAUGGUCUCGGGUACACCCCUGACUAUGUGGUGUACCACGAGCUUGUCCUGACAACCAAGGAGUAUAUGCAGUGUGUGAGCGCAGUGGAUCCGCAAUGGCUGGCGGAGCUGGGUCCUAUGUUCUUCUCUGUGAAAGACACGGACACCUCCCUGCUGGACCACAAGAAGAGACAGAAGGAGGAGAAGACGGCCAUGGAAGAGGAGAUGGAGAAGCUGAGGCAGGAACAGGCGGAGGCAGCACUCGUGGAGAAGGAGAGGGAGCGACGGAAGAGAGCCAAGCAGCAGCAGCAGAUCUCUAUGCCGGGUCUGAAGAAAGGUUCGACAUAUCUGAGGCCCAAGAAGAUGGGUUUAUAG
rnacentral:rRNA from 1 species